UCCAGAGAAUUUAGCAGAGAUGCUUUAGUGCCUUCGGGAACUCUGAGACAGGUGCUGCAUGGCUGUCGUCAGCUCGUGUUGUGAAAUGUUGGGUUAAGUCCCGCAACGAGCGCAACCCUUAUCCUUUGUUGCCAGCACGUAAUGGUGGGAACUCAAAGGAGACUGCCGGUGAUAAACCGGAGGAAGGUGGGGAUGACGUCAAGUCAUCAUGGCCCUUACGAGUAGGGCUACACACGUGCUACAAUGGCGCAUCAAAGAGAAGCGACCUCGCGAGAGCAAGCGGACCUCAUAAAGUGCGUCGUAGUCCGGAUUGGAGUCUGCAACUCGACUCCAUGAAGUCGGAAUCGCUAGUAAUCGUAAAUCAGAAUGUUACGGUGAAUACGUUCCCGGGCCUUGUACACACCGCCCGUCACACCAUGGGAGUGGGUUGCAAAAGAAGUAGAUAGCUUAACCUUCGGGAGGGCGUUUACCACUUUGUGAUUCAUGACUGGGGUGAAGUCGUAACAAGGUAAGCGUAGUGCU
rnacentral:rRNA from 1 species